CCUGCGGCGGCCUAUACAUGCAAGUCGAACGGUAACAGGCGGUAGCAAUACUGCGCUGACGAGUGGCGCACGGGUGCGUAACACGUAUGCAACCUACCCUGUACUGGGGGAUAACCCUGAGAAAUCGGGGCUAAUACUCCAUGGUAAUGGAUUCUGGCAUCAGGAUUCAUUUAAAGAUUUAUUGGUACGGGAUGGGCAUGCGCCCCAUUAGUUAGUUGGUGAGGUAACGGCUCACCAAGGCGAUGAUGGGUAGGGGAUCUGAGAGGAUUUACCCCCACACUGGUACUGAGACACGGACCAGACUCCUACGGGAGGCAGCAGUAAGGAAUAUUGGGCAAUGGAGGCAACUCUGACCCAGCCAUGCCGCGUGCAGGAUGACGGCCUUAUGGGUUGUAAACUGCUUUUAUACGGGACUAACCGUGGUUACGUGUAGCCAUCUGCAUGUACCGUAUGAAUAAGCAUCGGCUAACUCCGUGCCAGCAGCCGCGGUAAUACGGAGGAUGCGAGCGUUAUCCGGAUUUAUUGGGUUUAAAGGGUGCGUAGGUGGAUAUUUAAGUCAGUGGUGAAAGGCUCCGGCUCAACUGGGGACGUGCCAUUGAAACUGGAUAUCUUGAGUAUAAUCGAAGUGGGCGGAAUGAGGGGUGUAGCGGUGAAAUGCAUAGAUAUUCCUCAGAACACCGAUAGCGUAGGCAGCUCACUAGCUUAUAACUGACGCUGAUGCACGAAAGCGUGGGGGAUCAAACAGGGAUUAGAUACCCUGGUAGUCCACGCUGUA
rnacentral:rRNA from 1 species